rnacentral:rRNA from 1 species
UACGGAGGGUGCAAGCGUUAUCCGGAUUUACUGGGCGUAAAGGGCGCGUAGGCGGUCAGCACAAGUCAGUUGUGAAAUCCCCGGGCUUAACCUGGGAAUGGCAUUUGGGACUGCAAGGCUCGAGUGCGGCAGAGGAGACUGGAAUUCCUGGUGUAGCAGUGAAAUGCGUAGAUAUCAGGAGGAACACCGAUGGCGAAGGCAGGUCUCUGGGCUGACACUGACGCUCAUGCACGAAAGCGUGGGGAGCAAACAGG